UAAGGAAUAUUGGUCAAUGGACGCAAGUCUGAACCAGCCAUGCCGCGUGAAGGAUGAAGGUCCUCUGGAUUGUAAACUUCUUUUAUCUGGGACGAAAAAAGCUCAUUCUUGAGCACUUGACGGUACCAGAAGAAUAAGCACCGGCUAACUCCGUGCCAGCAGCCGCGGUAAUACGGAGGGUGCAAGCGUUAUCCGGAUUUACUGGGUUUAAAGGGUGCGUAGGUGGAUUUGUAAGUCAGUGGUGAAAUCUCCGAGCUUAACUCGGAAACUGCCAUUGAUACUAUAAGUCUUGAAUUAUCUGGAGGUAAGCGGAAUAUGUCAUGUAGCGGUGAAAUGCUUAGAUAUGACAUAGAACACCAAUUGCGAAGGCAGCUUACUGAGCCACAACUGACGCUGGGGCACGAAGGCGUGGGGAUCAAACA
rnacentral:rRNA from 1 species